rnacentral:rRNA from 1 species
GACGAACGCUGGCGGCGUGCUUAACACAUGCAAGUCGAACGGAAAGGCCCUGCUCUUGUUGGGUGCUCGAGUGGCGAACGGGUGAGUAACACGCGAGUAACCUGCCCUUGUCUUUGGGAUAACAUCAGGAAACUGGGGCGAAUACAGGAGAGGAGCUCCUGCUGCAUGGGGGUGGAUGGAAAGUUUCGGCGGUUGGGGAUGGACUCGAGGCUUAUCAGCUUGUUGGUGGGGUAGUGGCUUCCGAAGGCUUUGACGGGUAGCCGGCCUGAGAGGGUGACCGGGCACCUGGGGCCUGAGAUACGGACCAGAAUCCUACGGGAGGCAGCAGGGGAGAGUAUUGCACAAUGGGGGGAAGUCUGAUGCAGCGACGCCGCGUGCGUGAUGACCGGCUACGGGUGGAAAACCGCUUUCGACUGUGACGAAGCGUUAGUGACGGUAAUGGGUAAAGAAGCAACGGCUAACUACGUG